GCAGGCCUAACACAUGCAAGUCGAACGGUAACAGGAAGCAGCUUGCUGCUUCGCUGACGAGUGGCGGACGGGUGAGUAAUGUCUGGGAAACUGCCUGAUGGAGGGGGAUAACUACUGGAAACGGUAGCUAAUACCGCAUAACGUCGCAAGACCAAAGAGGGGGACCUUCGGGCCUCUUGCCAUCGGAUGUGCCCAGAUGGGAUUAGCUAGUAUGUGGGGUAACGGCUCACCUAGGCGACGAUCCCUAGCUGGUCUGAGAGGAUGACCAGCCACACUGGAACUGAGACACGGUCCAGACUCCUACGGGAGGCAGCAGUGGGGAAUAUUGCACAAUGGGCGCAAGCCUGAUGCAGCCAUGCCGCGUGUAUGAAGAAGGCCUUCGGGUUGUAAAGUACUUUCAGCGGGGAGGAAGGCGACAGGGUUAAUAACCCUGUCGAUUGACGUUACCCGCAGAAGAAGCACCGGCUAACUCCGUGCCAGCAGCCGCGGUAAUACGGAGGGUGCAAGCGUUAAUCGGAAUUACUGGGCGUAAAGCGCACGCAGGCGGUCUGUCAAGUCGGAUGUGAAAUCCCCGGGCUCAACCUGGGAACUGCAUUCGAAACUGGCAGGCUAGAGUCUUGUAGAGGGGGGUAGAAUUCCAGGUGUAGCGGUGAAAUGCGUAGAGAUCUGGAGGAAUACCGGUGGCGAAGGCGGCCCCCCUGGACAAAGACUGACGCUCAGGUG
rnacentral:rRNA from 1 species